GAUGGAGUCUCACUCUGACGCCCAGGCUGGCGUUCAGUGGUAUGAUCUCAGCUCACUGCAACCUCUGCCUCCCAGGCUGGCGUUCAAUGUACUUGUCUGCUCUUCAUUUUUGCAUUUCAAUCCUGUUCCAUCUGGGCUUUCUGUAGGAAUGAGGGUCUCACUCCUGUCACCCAGGCUGUUGUGCAGUGGUGUGAUCUGAGCUCACUGCAACUUCCACCUCCCAGGCUCAAGCAAUCCUCCUGCCUCAGUCUCCCAAAUAGCUGGG